UACGAAGGGUGCAAGCGUUGCUCGGAAUUAUUGGGCGUAAAGGGUAGGUAGGUGGUAGUAUUUGUCUGAGGUGAAAUCCCCGAGCUUAACUUGGGAAGUGCCUUGGAAACGGUAUUACUAGAGUACUGGAGAGGUUCGUAGAAUUCCUGGUGUAGCGGUGAAAUGCGUAGAGAUCAGGAGGAAUAUCAGAGGCGAAGGCGACGAACUGGACAGUAACUGACACUCAACUACGAAAGCGUGGGUAGCAAACAGG
rnacentral:rRNA from 1 species